UCCAGAGGGGGCAAGCGUUGUUCGGAAUUACUGGGCGUAAAGGGCGCGUAGGCGGCGUGACAAGUCACUUGUGAAAUCUCUGAGCUUAACUCAGAACGGCCAAGUGAAACUGUUGUGCUAGAGUGCAGAAGGGGCAAUCGGAAUUCUUGGUGUAGCGGUGAAAUGCGUAGAUAUCAAGAGGAACACCUGAGGUGAAGACGGGUUGCUGGGCUGACACUGACGCUGAGGCGCGAAAGCCAGGGGAGCAAACGGG
rnacentral:rRNA from 1 species